UUAUGGCUCAGAACGAACGCUGGCGGCAUGGAUUAGGCAUGCAAGUCGAACGGUGCAGCAAUGCAUAGUGGCGCAAGGGUGAGGAACGCGUGAGUAACCUGCCCUCAAGUUGGGAACAGCUUCUGGAAACGGAAAUUAAUACCGAAUGUGACCAUUAGGAGGCAUCUCUUAAGGGUUAAAGGCCGCAAGGUCGCUUGAGGAGGGGGCUCGCGUCCCAUUAUGCUAGUUGGUGAGGUAAUGGCCCACCAAGGCGAAGAUGGGUAGCUGGUCUGAGAGGACGAUCAGCCACACUGGGACUGAGAACUGCCCAGACUCCUACGGGAGGCUGCAGUCGAGAAUUUUGGGCAAUGGACGAAAGUCUGACCCAAGCAAUGCCGCGUGCGGGAUGAAGGUCUUCGGAUUGUAAACCGCUGUCAAGUGGGACGAAACAAAUGACGGUACCGCUGAAGGAAGUCACGGCUAACUACGUGCCAGCCGCAGC
rnacentral:rRNA from 1 species